AGCAGCCGCGGUAAUUCCAGCUCCAAUAGCGUAUAUUAAAGUUGUUGCAGUUAAAAAGCUCGUAGUUGAAUUUCGGGAUCAAUAUAUUGGUCAUGCUUAGGUAUGUACUGGUAUUAUUGAUUUCUCCCUUCUGAAGAACCAUGAUGUCAUUAAUUUGAUGUCGUGGGGAAUCAGGACUGUUACUUUGAAAAAAUUAGAGUGUUUAAAGCAGGCUUUCGCUUGAAUACAUUAGCAUGGAAUAAUGAAAUAGGACGUUUGAUUCUAUUUUGUUGGUUUCUAGGAUCGACGUAAUGAUUAAUAGGGAUAGUUGGGGGCAUUAGUAUUCAAUUGUCAGAGGUGAAAUUCUUGGAUUUAUUGAAGACUAACUACUGCGAAAGCAUUUGCCAAGGAUGUUUUCAUUAAUCAAGAACGAAAGUUAGGGGAUCGAAGACGAUCAGAUACCGUCGUAGUCUUAACCAUAAACUAUGCCGACUAGGGAUCGGAUGAUGUUAAUUUUUAAUGA
rnacentral:rRNA from 1 species